AUUGAACGCUGGCGGCAUGCCUUACACAUGCAAGUCGAACGGUAACAGGCCGCAAGGUGCUGACGAGUGGCGAACGGGUGAGUAAUGCGUCGGAACGUGCCCAGACGUGGGGGAUAACUGCUCGAAAGAGCAGCGAAUACCGCAUACGACCUGAGGGCGAAAGCUGGGGACCGUGAGGCCACGCGCGAUUGGAGCGGCCGAUGUCUGAUUAGCUAGUUGGUGGGGUAAAGGCCUACCAAGGCAACGAUCUGUAGUUGGUCUGAGAGGACGACCAGCCACACUGGGACUGAGACACGGCCCAGACUCCUACGGGAGGCAGCAGUGGGGAAUUUUGGACAAUGGGCGCAAGCCUGAGCCAGCAAUGCCGCGUGCAGGAAGAAGGCCUUCGGGUUGUAAACUGCUUUUGUCAGGGAAGAAAUCUUCUGGGCUAAUACCCCGGGAGGAUGACGGUACCUGAAGAAUAAGCACCGGCUAACUCUGUGCCAGCCGCCGCGGUAAAAC
rnacentral:rRNA from 1 species